rnacentral:rRNA from 1 species
UACGGAGGGUGCAAGCGUUGAUCGGAAUUACUGGGCGUAAAGCGUGCGCAGGCGGUUUGGUAAGUCCGUUGUGAAAUCCCCGAGCUCAACUUGGGAAUUGCAAUGGAUACUGGCAAGCUGGAGUAUGGUAGAGGAAGGUGGAAUUCCCGGUGUAGCAGUGAAAUGCGUAGAUAUCUGGAGGAACACCGGUGGCGAAGGCGGCAUCCUGGACCGGCAUUGACGCUGAGGCGCGAAAGCCAGGGGAGCAAACGGG